UACGUAGGGUGCGAGCGUUAAUCGGAAUUACUGGGCGUAAAGCGUGCGCAGGCGGUUUUGUAAGCCAGAUGUGAAAGCCCCGGGCUCAACCUGGGAAUGGCGAUGGAUACUGGCGGGCUAGAGUGCGGUAGAGGAGAGUGGAAUUCCCGGUGUAGCAGUGAAAUGCGUAGAGAUCGGGAGGAACAUCAGUUGCGAAGGCGGCUCUCUGGACCAGCACUGACACUGAGGCACGAAAGCGUGGGGAGCAAACAGG
rnacentral:rRNA from 1 species